rnacentral:rRNA from 1 species
UACGAAGGGGGGCUAGCGUUGCUCGGAAUCACUGGGCGUAAAGCGCACGUAGGCGGAUUGUUAAGUCAGGGGUGAAAUCCCUGGGAGCUCAACUCCAGAACUGCCUUUGAUACUGGCGAUCUCGGAGUCCGGGAGAGGUGAGUGGAACUGCGAGUGUAGAGGUGAAAUUCGUAGAUAUUCGCAAGAACACCAGUGGCGAAGGCGGCUCACUGGCCCGGUACUGACGCUGAGGUGCGAAAGCGUGGGGAGCAAACAGG